AACGAACGCUGGCGGCAUGCCUAACACAUGCAAGUCGAACGAGACCUUCGGGUCUAGUGGCGCACGGGUGCGUAACGCGUGGGAACCUGCCCUUAGGUUCGGAAUACCUCCCCGAAAGGGAUGCUAAUACCGGAUAAUGUCUUCGGACCAAAGAUUUAUCGCCUUUGGAUGGGCACGCGUUGGAUUAGCUAGUUGGUAGGGUAAAAGCCUGCCAAGGCGACGAUCCAGAGCUGGUCUGAUAGGAUGAUCAGCCACACUGGGACUGAGACACGGCCCAGACUCCUACGGGAGGCAGCAGUGGGGAAUAGUGGACAAUGGGCGAAAGCCUGAUCCAGCAAUGCCGCGUGAGUGAUGAAGGCCUUAGGGUUGUAAAGCUCUUUUACCCGGGAUGAUAAUGACAGUACCGGGAGAAUAAGCACCGGCUAACUCCGUG
rnacentral:rRNA from 1 species